rnacentral:rRNA from 1 species
AUUGAACGCUGGCGGAAUGCUUUACACAUGCAAGUCGAACGGUAGAGGGGGCAACCCCUUGAGAGUGGCGAACGGGUGAGUAAUAUAUCGGAACGUGCCCAGUCGUGGGGAUAACGUAGCGAAAGUUACGCUAAUACCGCAUACGAUCUAAGGAUGAAAGCGGGGGAUCGCAAGACCUCGCGCGAUUGGAGCGGCCGAUAUCAGAUUAGGUAGUUGGUGAGGUAAUGGCUCACCAAGGCGACGAUCCGUAACUGGUCUGAGAGGAUGAUCAGUCACACUGGAACUGAGACACGGUCCAGACUCCUACGGGAGGCAGCAGUGGGGAAUAUUGGACAAUGGGCGAAAGCCUGAUCCAGCCAUGCCGCGUGUGUGAAGAAGGUCUUCGGAUUGUAAAGCACUUUAAGUUGGGAGGAAGGGUAGUAACCUAAUACGUUGCUACUUUGACGUUACCGACAGAAUAAGCACCGGCUAACUUCGUGCCAGCAGCCGCGGUAAAGU